rnacentral:SRP_RNA from 1 species
UCCAGGCGUGUGCCUGUAGUCCCAGCUUCUUGGGAGGCUGAGGUGGGAGGAUUGCUUGAGUCCAGGAGUUCUGGGCUGUAGUGCACUAUGCCAAUUGGGUAGCCGCACUAAGUUUGGCAUCAAUACGGUGACCUCCCGAGAGCAGGGGACCACCAGGUUGACUAAGGAGGGGUGAACCAGCCCAGGUCAGAAACAGAGCAGGUCAAAACUACCCUGCUGAUCUGUAGUGGGAUCAUGCCUAUGAAUAGCCACUGCACUCCAACCUGGGCAACAUAGCAAAACCCUGUCUCU